ACGCUGGCGGCGUGCCUAACACAUGCAAGUCGAGCGCGAAAGGGACUUCGGUCCUGAGUAAAGCGGCGAACGGGUGAGUAACACGUGGGCAACCUGCCUCAAGGACUGGGAUAACUCCGGGAAACCGGAGCUAAUACCGGGCGAUGUCGCCCUGCACAAGCAGGUCGACCAAAUGGUAGCUUCGGCCUCCGCCUUGAGAUGGGCCCGCGUCCUAUCAGCUAGUUGGUGAGGUAAUGGCUCACCAAGGCGACGACGGGUAGCUGGUCUGAGAGGAUGAUCAGCCACACUGGGACUGAGAUACGGCCCAGACUCCUACGGGAGGCAGCAGUGGGGAAUCUUGCGCAAUGGGCGAAAGCCUGACGCAGCAACGCCGCGUGAGCGAAGAAGGCCUUCGGGUUGUAAAGCUCUGUCAGGGGGAAAGAAGGCACCUGGGUUAAUAGCCCAAGGGCUGACGGUACCCCCAAAGGAAGCCACGGCUAACUACGUGCCAGCAGCCGCGGUAAUACGUAGGUGGCGAGCGUUGUCCGGAAUCAUUGGGCGUAAAGAGCGCGUAGGUGGCUUGUCAGGUCCGAUGUGAAACCUUGGGGCUCAACCCCAAGCCUGCAUCGGAAACCGGCUUGCUAGAGUCUGGGAGAGGAGAGUGGAAUUCCUGGUGUAGCGGUGAAAUGCGUAGAUAUCAGAGGAACACCGGUAGCG
rnacentral:rRNA from 1 species